GACGAACGCUGGCGGCGUGCUUAACACAUGCAAGUCGAGCGGUAAGGCCCUUUCGGGGGUACACGAGCGGCGAACGGGUGAGUAACACGUGGGUGACCUGCCCUCAGCUCUGGGAUAAGCCUGGGAAACCGGGUCUAAUACUGGAUAUGACUCCAUGACGCAUGUUGUGGGGUGGAAANCCUUGUGCGGCUGAGGAUGGGCCCGCGGCCUAUCAGCUUGUUGGUGGGGUGANGGCCUACCAAGGCGACGACGGGUAGCCGGCCUGAGAGGGCGACCGGCCACACUGGGACUGAGACACGGGCCCAGACUCCUACGGGAGGGCAGCAGUGGGGGAAUCUUGCGCAAUGGGCGAAAGCCUGACGCAGCGACGCCG
rnacentral:rRNA from 1 species